GACGAACGCUGGCGGCGUGCUUAACACAUGCAAGUCGAACGGAAAGGCCCUGCUUUUGUGGGGUGCUCGAGUGGCGAACGGGUGAGUAACACGUGAGUAACCUGCCCUUGACUUUGGGAUAACUUCAGGAAACUGGGGCUAAUACCGGAUAGGAGCUCCUGCUGCAUGGUGGGGGUUGGAAAGUUUCGGCGGUUGGGGAUGGACUCGCGGCUUAUCAGCUUGUUGGUGGGGUAGUGGCUUACCAAGGCUUUGACGGGUAGCCGGCCUGAGAGGGUGACCGGCCACAUUGGGACUGAGAUACGGCCCAGACUCCUACGGGAGGCAGCAGUGGGGAAUAUUGCACAAUGGGCGGAAGCCUGAUGCAGCAACGCCGCGUGCGGGAUGACGGCCUUCGGGUUGUAAACCGCUUUCGCCUGUGACGAAGCGUGAGUGACGGUAAUGGGUAAAGAAGCACCGGCUAACUACGUGCCAGCAGCCACGGUGAUACGUAGGGUGCGAGCGUUGUCCGGAUUUAUUGGGCGUAAAGGGCUCGUAGGUGGUUGAUCGCGUCGGAAGUGUAAUCUUGGGGCUUAACCCUGAGCGUGCUUUCGAUACGGGUUGACUUGAGGAAGGUAGGGGAGAAUGGAAUUCCUGGUGGAGCGGUGGAAUGCGCAGAUAUCAGGAGGAACACCAGUGGCGAAGGCGGUUCUCUGGGCCUUCCUGACGCUGAGGAGCGAAAGCGUGGGGAGCGAACAGGCUUAGAUACCCUGGUAGUCCACGCUGUAAACGGUGGGUACUAGGUGUGGGGUCCAUUCCACGGGUUCCGUGCCGUAGCUAACGCUUUAAGUACCCCGCCUGGGGAGUACGGCCGCAAGGCUAAAACUCAAAGGAAUUGACGGGGCCCCGCACAAGCGGCGGAGCAUGCGGAUUAAUUCGAUGCAACGCGUAGAACCUUACCUGGGUUUGACAUGGAUCGGGAGCGCUCAGAGAUGGGUGUGCCUCUUUUGGGGUCGGUUCACAGGUGGUGCAUGGCUGUCGUCAGCUCGUGUCGUGAGAUGUUGGGUUAAGUCCCGCAACGAGCGCAACCCUUGUUCACUGUUGCCAGCACGUUAUGGUGGGGACUCAGUGGAGACCGCCGGGGUCAACUCGGAGGAAGGUGGGGAUGACGUCAAGUCAUCAUGCCCCUUAUGUCCAGGGCUUCACGCAUGCUACAAUGGCUGGUACAGAGAGUGGCGAGCCUGUGAGGGUGAGCGAAUCUCGGAAAGCCGGUCUCAGUUCGGAUUGGGGUCUGCAACUCGACCUCAUGAAGUCGGAGUCGCUAGUAAUCGCAGAUCAGCAACGCUGCGGUGAAUACGUUCCCGGGGCU
rnacentral:rRNA from 1 species